UGGGGAAUCUUGGACAAUGGGGGCAACCCUGAUCCAGCGACGCCGCGUGGGUGAUGAAGGCCUUCGGGUUGUAAAGCCCUUUCGCCGGGGACGAUGAUGACGGUACCCGGAGAAUAAGCACCGGCUAACUCCGUGCCAGCAGCCGCGGUAAUACGGAGGGAGCUAGCGUUGUUCGGAAUUACUGGGCGUAAAGCGCGCGUAGGCGGCUUUUCAAGUCAGGGGUGAAAUCCCGGGGCUCAACCCCGGAACUGCCCUUGAAACUGGGAAGCUAGAAUCCUGGAGAGGCGAGUGGAAUUCCGAGUGUAGAGGUGAAAUUCGUAGAUAUUCGGAAGAACACCAGUGGCGAAGGCGACUCGCUGGACAGGUAUUGACGCUGAGGUGCGAAAGCGUGGGGAGCAAACAGGAUUAGAUACCCCCGUAGUCC
rnacentral:rRNA from 1 species